UUUUCAUGUAUAAACCUAUCAUAAUAAUUUUAAAAAUUGAUGCAAUGAUGAAUAUGAGAAAGAAUGAUUUGAACUUGAAACUAAUACUCUGUCUGUGGUCGGUUGUUUUUUUUUCUCUCUCUCCUCUCUCUUUCUCUCGGUAUGAUAUAUGAAUGAAGUAUAAAAAACUAACGAUUCAAUAAUAAUAUCAUUAUCAAUUAACCAAAUGGAACCACAAAUACCGAAAGUAUCUCAUUGGACAUCAAUCGAACACCACCUACAAUAAAUUGUACAAUAAUGAGAAAUGCAACACCGAAUCCAUUACGUUCGUUUGUGGAAUUUAACCGGACAACAACAACAACAA